GAUGAACGCUGGCGGCGUGCCUAAUACAUGCAAGUCGAGCGAACAGACGAGGAGCUUGCUCCUCUGACGUUAGCGGCGGACGGGUGAGUAACACGUGGAUAACCUACCUAUAUGACUGGGAUAACUUCGGGAAACCGGAUCUUAUACCGGAGAAUAUAUUGAACCGCAGGGGGCGUUAGAGAAAGACGGUUUUGCUGUCUCUUAUAGAUGGAUCCGCGCCGCAUUAGCUAGUUGUUAGGUGAACGGCCUACCAAGGGAACGAGGCGUAGCCGACCUGAGGGGGUGAUCGGCCGCACGGGAACUGAGACACGGUCCAGGCUCCUACGGGAGGCAGCAGUAGGCAAUCUUCGGCAAUGGGCGGAAGCCUGGCGGAGCAGCGCCGCGUGAGUGAUGAAGGUCUUCGGAUCGUAAAACUCUGUUAUUAGGGAAGAACAGCUGUGUAAGUAAAUGUGCCCGUCUUGACGGUACCUGGUCAGAAAGCCACGGCUAACUACGUG
rnacentral:rRNA from 1 species